rnacentral:rRNA from 1 species
UGGGGAAUAUUGCACAAUGGGCGCAAGCCUGAUGCAGCCAUGCCGCGUGUGUGAAGAAGGCCUUCGGGUUGUAAAGCACUUUCAGCGAGGAGGAAGGUGGUGAGCUUAAUACGCUCAUCAAUUGACGUUACUCGCAGAAGAAGCACCGGCUAACUCCGUGCCAGCAGCCGCGGUAAUACGGAGGGUGCAAGCGUUAAUCGGAAUUACUGGGCGUAAAGCGCACGCAGGCGGUUUGUUAAGUCAGAUGUGAAAUCCCCGGGCUCAACCUGGGAACUGCAUUUGAAACUGGCAAGCUAGAGUCUCGUAGAGGGGGGUAGAAUUCCAGGUGUAGCGGUGAAAUGCGUAGAGAUCUGGAGGAAUACCGGUGGCGAAGGCGGCCCCCCUGGACGAAGACUGACGCUCAGGUGCGAAAGCGUGGGAGCAAAACAGGAUUAGAUACCCUGGUAGUCCCANCUGUAAACGAUGUCGAUUUGAGGUUGUGCCCUUGAGGCGUGGCUUCGGAGCUAACGCGUUAAAUCGACCGCCUGGGGAGU